AGGGUCUCAAAUGUCAUCAAGGGAAUAAAGUAGCAAAGCCUAUUGUAAACUGAAUUUGCAUAGCUCUUGCGUAUGAGAUUCAGACGGAUUUUAAAUACCUUAAAAUCUGGAUAGAAACAUAUACGAUUGGAGCAACAGCAGGAAGAACAGCUAGGAUGCCAUCCCUGUUGCCAUGAAUGAGGGCAUCUCCACUCACGCCUGUGGGUGUGCAGGUGCAGGGCAAAAAUACAUGACAAGAUGCCAGCGUGAUGAGAGAUUUGCAUCUAUAUACAAAUUCCAUGAUAUCUGUGAAGAUCCUGUUUCCAGCACAAGCACGCCUCUCCGUGACAGAAUUUCUUUAAGGGCGAUAACAGGACUGAUUUCAUAAACACUAUGUUUGAAUGAAAGAUGUAAUGUGAUAAAGGCCAAGGAAUAUCCACGAAGCCAAACCAAAAGCAAAGAACAGAAGAGGAAGUAAAAGGAGGGACAACAGAGUCAUGGAGAAAGAACCACAGGUAGGAAGCAUGGGACCUCAAGAGUAUACAACCAACAGAAAGGAAAUCUUCCAAGUCUGGAAUAGGAAGCAACUGCAGCAUCCGCUGGGACCUGCUGUGCAGCAUGCUUCCUACGAAAUCACUCAGCUCCUGGUAGAAUGCCUCUAGUGAUGGGGACCUUGUUACUUACAGAGGGAGUAUAUUUUCAUUUUGGACAGUUAAUAUUUAUUUACUUAUUCAUUCAUUUCAAAAGUUAUAACCAUUACAUAAAUAUAUACCAAGUGCUGUUCUUGGAUGCUGGAGAUAUAAGCAAGCUCAAGAUAGACAAAGGCUUAGUCCUUGUGGAACCUAAAUUCUUGUGGGGAGGAAGAUAACAGAUAAAUGACCACAUAAAAAUACAUCCAUGCACUGAGAAGAGCUAUGAAGAAUAAAACGGGGUAAAGGGUUCAGAAAACAAUAUGAAGGAAGAAUAUGUUGACAGGCUGUUAAGGAAGGUCUCUCUGAGGAGACAAUAUGGCUAGAAUGUUCUCAGCCCUUGAAUUAAUUCUGUUAUCUAAAGCAAUUUGAAAUAAAUUGAACAUCCUUCCUAUUCAAUAGCUCUUUGAAGUUUUGAAUGUAAGUCGUUUCUCAUGUACAGUAAACCUCUAUAGGUACCUCAUUACUUCCUCCUAAGACACAGCUUUGGAAUUGUCAUGUCUGUCUCUAUCUAUACUUCCUGGCAAACAGUCAUGACCCAAAACCACAUCAGUGCUCCUGAAAUGGCUAGGCUGAUACUGAGCAAAGCUGCACAAUCCUCUCUUUCGAUUUGGAGGCUCUACUUGUUAUAGUGAUGCCUGUAAUUAUAUUAGCUUCCUUUAUGAUCACUGAUUAAUAUAGGUUCAUGUUGCGCUUUUGCACAGAACAGCCCAUGGAUUGUCAUUAAACUUAGUCUCUUUCCAUUCUACACAUGGGCAGUUGGGAUUCACAUAUAACCCUGUUUCAAGACAGCGUAACAGUUUUGAUAAAUCUAAUGGAUGGAAGUAAUGAAACAACUA
rnacentral:lncRNA from 10 species